GCCUACAGCCAUGCCACACUGAACAAGCCCGAUCCUCUCUGCUCUUGGAAGCUAAGCAGGGUCGGGCCUGGUUAGUACUUGGAUGGGAGACCACCUAGGAAGACCAGGUGCUGUAGGCG
rnacentral:rRNA from 1 species